rnacentral:rRNA from 1 species
AUUGAACGCUGGCGGCAGGCCUAACACAUGCAAGUCGAACGAGUGGCGGACGGGUGAGUAAUGUCUGGGAACCUGCCUGAUGGAGGGGGAUAACUACUGGAAACGGUAGCUAAUACCGCAUACCAUCGGAUGUGCCCAGAUGGGAUUAGCUAGUAGGUGGGGUAAAGGCUCACCUAGGCGACGAUCCCUAGCUGGUCUGAGAGGAUGACGAGCCAUACGGGGACGGAGACACGGUCCAGACUCCUACGGGAGGCAGCAGUGGGGAAUAUUGCGCAAUGGGCGCAAGCCGGAUGCAUCAAGGCCGCGUGUAUGAAGAAGGCCUUCGGGUUGUAAAGGACUUGCAGCGGGGAGGCGGUACCCACAGAAGAAGCACCGGCUAACUCCGUGCCAGCAGCCGCGGUAAUUC